rnacentral:rRNA from 1 species
UACGGAGGGUGCAAGCGUUGUUCGGAAUUAUUGGGCGUAAAGCGCGUGUAGGCGGCCAGGUAAGUCAGAUGUGAAAGCCUUUCGCUUAACGAAAGAAGUGCAUUUGAUACUGCCUGGCUAGAGUUCGGAAGAGGAGAGUGGAAUUCCUGGUGUAGAGGUGAAAUUCGUAGAUAUCAGGAGGAACACCGGUGGCGAAGGCGGCUCUCUGGUCCGAUACUGACGCUGAGACGCGAAAGCGUGGGGAG